rnacentral:rRNA from 1 species
GUGCCAGCCGCCGCGGUAAUACGGAGGGUGCGAGCGUUGUUCGGAAUUACUGGGCGUAAAGCGCGUGUAGGCGGUAUGGUAAGUCAGAUGUGAAAGCCCUGGGCUCAACCCAGGAAGUGCAUUUGAUACUGCCAUUCUUGAGUAUGGGAGAGGAGAGUGGAAUUCCCAGUGUAGAGGUGAAAUUCGUAGAUAUUGGGAGGAACACCCGUGGCGAAGGCGACUCUCUGGACCAAUACUGACGCUGAGACGCGAAAGCGUGGGGAGCAAACAGGAUUAGAUACCCUGGUAGUCCACGCCGUAAACGAUGAGAACUAGGUGUAGCGGGUAUUGACCCCUGCUGUGCCGAAGUUAACGCAUUAAGUUCUCCGCCUGGGGAGUACGGCCGCAAGGCUAAAACUUAAAUGAAUUGACGGGG